GACGAACGCUGGCGGCGUGCCUAAUACAUGCAAGUAGAACGCUGAAGGAGGAGCUUGCUCUUCUGGAUGAGUUGCGAACGGGUGAGUAACGCGUAGGUAACCUGCCUGGUAGCGGGGGAUAACUAUUAGAAACGAUAGCUAAUACCGCAUAACAGUAGAUGUUGCAUGACAUUUGCUUAAAAGGUGCAAUUGCACCACUACCAGAUGGACCUGCGUUGUAUUAGCUAGUUGGUGGGGUAACGGCUCACCAAGGCGACGAUACAUAGCCGACCUGAGAGGGUGAUCGGCCACACUGGGACUGAGACACGGCCCAGACUCCUACGGGAGGCAGCAGUAGGGAAUCUUCGGCAAUAGACGGAAGUCUGACCGAGCAACGCCGCGUGAGUGAAGAAGGUUUUCGGAUCGUAAAGCUCUGUUGUAAGAGAAGAACGAGUGUGAGAGUGGAAAGUUCACACUGUGACGGUAUCUUACCAGAAAGGGACGGCUAACUACGUG
rnacentral:rRNA from 1 species